GUGCCAGCAGCCGCGGUAAUACGUAGGUCCCGAGCGUUGUCCGGAUUUAUUGGGCGUAAAGCGAGCGCAGGCGGUUAGAUAAGUCUGAAGUUAAAGGCUGUGGCUUAACCAUAGUACGCUUUGGAAACUGUUUAACUUGAGUGCAAGAGGGGAGAGUGGAAUUCCAUGUGUAGCGGUGAAAUGCGUAGAUAUAUGGAGGAACACCGGUGGCGAAAGCGGCUCUCUGGCUUGUAACUGACGCUGAGGCUCGAAAGCGUGGGGAGCAAAC
rnacentral:rRNA from 1 species